AGACCGGACGCGAUUUGGCAGCGCGACGCGAAUUUUCAAUUUUCAUGAAAACUGAAAAAAACUGAAAAAUCGCGUCGCAUUGUCGAGUCGCGUCCGGUGU